rnacentral:rRNA from 1 species
AUUUACUAUAAAUUUACAGAAUUUGGCGGUGGUUUAGUCUUAUUAGAGGAACCUGUUUUUUAAUCGAUAUUCCACGAAAAAUCUUACUUGCUUUAAAUGGUUUGUAUACCAUCAUUAUCAGAUAAUUUUUUAUAAUAUUUAUUAGAAGGAAAAAUAAUUAUUGGAAUUAGUUUGUUAAAAAAAUUAGAUCAAGGUGCAGCUAAAAAUAAGUAAGUUAAAAUGGGUUACAAUAAAUAUUUAUUUAUUAUGGAUGUAGUUAGUAAGUAUAAUUAUAGAAGGAGGAUUUAAUUGUAAUAUAAGUUUAAUAAGCUUAAAUGAUGUAAGCUCUAAAUCAUGUACACAUCGCC